CGCCACUAUGAUGACACUUAUUUGCUACUCUUGACUGUCAGGAUGACGAGAUAGCUACCACCUAUAUAUUGCUGAGGCG